rnacentral:rRNA from 1 species
AAUGGGCGAAAGCCUGACGCAGCAAUGCCGCGUGCGGGACGAAGGCCCUAGGGUCGUAAACCGCUUUCAGUAGGGACGAAAAUGACGGUACCUGCAGAAGAAGCUCCGGCCAACUACGUGCCAGCAGCCGCGGUGAUACGUAGGGAGCAAGCGUUGUCCGGAAUUACUGGGCGUAAAGGGCUCGUAGGUGGUUGAGUAAGUCAGAUGUGAAAUCUCAGGGCCCAACCCUGAGCGUGCAUUUGAUACUGCUCUGACUAGAGUCCGGUAGGGGAGUGCGGAAUUCCUGGUGUAGCGGUGAAAUGCGCAGAUAUCAGGAGGAACACCGACAGCGAAGGCAGCACUCUGGGCCGGUACUGACACUGAGGAGCGAAAGCAUGGGUAGCAAA